GUUACCUUAGUGGUUAGAGCGUCUGGUUGGUUUCCUGACAGGCGCGGGUUCGAGUCCCGCUACG
rnacentral:tRNA from 1 species